CCAGCCCAUCUUGUUUAUUUGGUGUGCUGUGGUAGUGUCCGGGUACACCUCAACUCAUCGAGGUCCGUGAGAACCCCGCCGUUUAUUGGCGGGGUUUUGCUUUUUU
rfam:Pseudomonas brenneri strain RGCB 108 Contig011, whole genome shotgun sequence.